ensembl:snRNA U6 U6 spliceosomal RNA
GUGCUCGCUUCAACAGCACAUUUACUAAAAUUGGAAUGAUGCAGAGAAGAUUAACAUGGCCCCUGCAUAAGGAUAACACAUAAAUUUGUGAAGCAUUCCAUAUUAAA